UACGUAGGCAGCGAGCGUUGUUCGGAAUUACUGGGUGUAAAGAGUGUGUAGGCGGUGCUCUAAGUUCGGUGUGAAAUCUCCUGGCUUAACUGGGAGGGUGCGCCGGAAACUGGAGUGCCCGAACGUGGGAGAGGAAAGCGGAAUUCCUGGUGUAGCGGUGAAAUGCGUAGAUAUCAGGAGGAACACCUGCGGUGUAGACGGCUUUCUGGACCAUUGUUGACGCUGAGACACGAAAGCGUGGGUAGCAAACAGG
rnacentral:rRNA from 1 species